UGAACGCUGGCGACGGCCUAACACAUGCAAGUCGAACGGCAGCACAGAGGAGCUUGCUCCUUGGGUGGCGAGUGGCGGACGGGUGAGGAAUACGUCGGAAUCUGCCUAUUUGUGGGGGAUAACGUAGGGAAACUUACGCUAAUACCGCAUACGACCUACGGGUGAAAGUGGGGGACCUUCGGGCCUCACGCAGAUAGAUGAGCCGACGUCGGAUUAGCUAGUUGGCGGGGUAAAGGCCCACCAAGACGACGAUCCGUAGCCGGUCUGAGAGGAUGAUCAGCCACACUGGAACUGAGACACGGUCCAGACUCCUACGGGAGGCAGCAGUGGGGAAUAUUGGACAAUGGGCGCAAGCCUGAUCCAGCCAUGCCGCGUGUGUGAAGAAGGCCUUCGGGUUGUAAAGCACUUUUGUCCGGAAAGAAAAGCUUAGGGUUAAUAACCCUGAGUCAUGACGGUACCGGAAGAAUAAGCGCCGGCUAACUUCGUGCCAGCAGCCGCGGUAAUACGAAGGGUGCAAGCGUUACUCGGAAUUACUGGGCGUAAAGCGUGCGUAGGUGGUUUGUUAAGUCUGAUGUGAAAGCCCUGGGCUCAACCUGGGAAUGGCAUUGGAAACUGGCUUACUAGAGUGCGGUAGAGGGUAGUGGAAUUCCCGGUGUAGCAGUGAAAUGCGUAGAUAUCGGGAGGAACAUCUGUGGCGAAGGCGACUACCUGGACCAGCACUGACACUGAGGCACGAAAGCGUGGGGAGCAAACAGGAUUAGAUANCCUGGUAGUCCACGCCCUAAACGAUGCGAACUGGAUGUUGGGGGCAACUUGGCCCUCAGUAUCGAAGCUAACGCGUUAAGU
rnacentral:rRNA from 1 species